rnacentral:sRNA from 1 species
GCCAGGCAUGGUGGCGCACACCUGUAAUCCCAGUACUCGGGAGGCUGAGGCAGGAGGAUCCUUGCAAGUUCAAGGCCAGCUUGGGCUACAAAGUGAGCUCAAGGCCAGCCUGAACUGCAUAGCGAGACCCUGUCUCAAAAAGACAAAAAAAAAAAAACAAACAGGAUUUCACUAUGCAGUUCAAGGUGGUCUUGAACUCACUUUGUAGCCCAGGCUGGCCUUGAGCUCGCAGCAAUCCUCCUGCCUCA